CGGCAGGUUUCAGGGAAGAGGUGGC
rnacentral:piRNA from 1 species